UACGUAGGUGGCAAGCGUUAUCCGGAAUUAUUGGGCGUAAAGAGUGAGCAGGCGGCCGUUUAAGUCUGAAGUCAAAUGCAGUGGCUUAACCACUGUCCGCUUUGGAAACUGGAUGGCUAGAGUACGAGAGAAGUAAGCGGAAUUCCAUGUGUAGCGGUGAAAUGCGUAGAUAUAUGGAGGAACACCAGAGGCGAAGGCGGCUUACUAGAUCGAUACUGACGCUCAGUCACGAAAGCGUGGGUAGCAAAUAGGAUUAGAUACCC
rnacentral:rRNA from 1 species